rnacentral:rRNA from 1 species
CAGCAGCCACGGUAAUACGGAGGAGCCAAGCGUUAUCCGGAAUCAUUGGGUUUAAAGGGUCCGUAGGCGGUCUUGUAAGUCAGUGGUGAAAGCCCAUCGCUCAACGGUGGAACGGCCAUUGAUACUGCAGGACUUGAAUUAUUGGGAAGUAACUAGAAUAUGUAGUGUAGCGGUGAAAUGCUUAGAGAUUACAUGGAAUACCAAUUGCGAAGGCAGGUUACUACCAAUUGAUUGACGCUGAUGGACGAAAGCGUGGGUAGCGAACAGGAUUAGAUACCCGAGUAGUCCCUGUCUCUUAUAC